rnacentral:rRNA from 1 species
UACAGAGGGGCAAGCGUUAUUCGGAAUUAUUGGGCGUAAAAGGGCGCGUAGGCGGCUUGGCAAGUGGGAUGGUGAAAUCCCUCGGCUUAACCGAGGAACUGCCGUCCAAACUGCUUUGCUUGAGAACCGGGAGAGGUGAGUGGAAUUCCCAGUGUAGCGGUAGAAAUGCGUAGAUAUUGGGAGGAACACCAGUGGCGAAGGCGGCUCACUGGACCGGUACUGACGCUGAGGCGCGAAAGCGUGGGGAGCAAACGGG